rnacentral:rRNA from 1 species
CCUACGGGAGGCAGCAGUGGGUAAUAUUGGACAAUGGGCGAAAGCCUGAUCCAGCCAUGCCGCGUGUGUGAAGAAGGCCUUCGGGUUGUAAAGCACUUUCAGUGGGGAAGAAAGCCUUGGGGCUAAUACCCUCGAGGAAGGACAUCACCCACAGAAGAAGCACCGGCUAACUCCGUGCCAGCAGCCGCGGUAAUACGGAGGGUGCGAGCGUUAAUCGGAAUUACUGGGCGUAAAGCGCGCGUAGGCGGUCUGAUAAGCCGGUUGUGAAAGCCCCGGGCUCAACCUGGGAACGGCAUCCGGAACUGUCAGGCUAGAGUGCAGGAGAGGAAGGUAGAAUUCCCGGUGUAGCGGUGAAAUGCGUAGAGAUCGGGAGGAAUACCAGUGGCGAAGGCGGCCUUCUGGACUGACACUGACGCUGAGGUGCGAAAGCGUGGGUAGCAAACAGGAUUAGAUACCCUGGUAGUC